GAUGAACGCUGGCGGCGUGCCUAAUACAUGCAAGUCGAGCGAACAGACGAGGAGCUUGCUCCUCUGACGUUAGCGGCGGACGGGUGAGUAACACGUGGAUAACCUACCUAUAAGACUGGGAUAACUUCGGGAAACCGGAGCUAAUACCGGAUAACAUGUUGAACCGCAUGGUUCAACAGUGAAAGACGGUCUUGCUGUCGCUUAUAGAUGGACCCGCGCCGCAUUAGCUAGUUGGUAAGGUAACGGCUUACCAAGGCAACGAUGCGUAGCCGACCUGAGAGGGUGAUCGGCCACACUGGAACUGAGACACGGUCCAGACUCCUACGGGAGGCAGCAGUAGGGAAUCUUCCGCAAUGGGCGAAAGCCUGACGGAGCAACGCCGCGUGAGUGAAGAAGGUCUUCGGAUCGUAAAACUCUGUUAUUAGGGAAGAACAAAUGUGUAAGUAACUAUGCACGUCUUGACGGUACCUAAUCAGAAAGCCACGGCUAACUACGUG
rnacentral:rRNA from 1 species